ACCCGCUGAACUUAAGCAUAUCAGUAAGCGGAGGAAAAGAAACUAACAAGGAUGGCCUUAGUAACGGCGAGUGAAGCGGCCAAAGCCCACUUGUAAAUCUUCGGAAUUGUAAGCUAGGGAUGAAUGGUGUAGACUUGAUUGGGCCUAAGUGGUCAGGAAUGACACGUCAUGGAGGGUGAUAACCCCGUGAGGUUCGAUUGGGUUGAAAACCAAACAAUCUAAGAGUCGGACAGCUUGGGAUUGCUGUCCAAAGUGCGAGGUAAACUCCUCGUAAGGCUAAAUACGUCCAGAGCCCGAUAGUGCACAAGUACCGUGAGGGAAAGGUGAAAAGCACUUUGGAAAGAGAGUUAAAAGACCUGAAAUUGUUGGGGAGGAAGCUGUGCGUCUACGAGAAAUCGGAGCAAAGCUUUGAAAAGAAGUAUUGCGAAGAUUUGGUGGACGGACCGUCCCGUCUUGAAACACGGACCAAGGAGUCUAGCUAUGUCGCGAGUCUGUACAUGGAAAUGUGUAGGCGAAAUGAAAGUGAUCUCUACCAUCAGUAGAGGCCCGUAAGCGGAGUGAGCGGCUUGGCUGGGACCCGAAAGAUGGUGAGCUAUGCUUGGGCAGGACGAAGCCAGGGGAAACUCUGGUGGAGGUUCGUGAAGGUGCUGACGUGCAAAUCGCUCUGUGGACCUGAGUAUAGGGGCGAAAGACUCAUCGAACCAUCUAGUAGCUGGUUCCCUCCGAAGUUUCCCUCAGGAUAGCUGGGACUUUUAGUGGCAUCCGGUAAAGCCAAUGAAUAGAGGUUCGGGAGGAGUCACUCCUUCCUCCUAUUAUCAAACUUUAAAUGGGUGCAGUGACGUUUCAUAAUUGAACGUUACAUAACAUACGUGUCCCUAGUGGGCCAAUCCUGGUAAGCAGGACUGGCGAUGAGGGCCCAACCUGAAGCGGAGUUAAGGCGACAGAACCCGUCUGCAAGUAAAGGCGUUAGUCCAUUUAGACAGUAGGACGGUGGCCAUGGAAGUCGGAACCCGCUAAGGAGUGUGUAACAACUCACCUACCGAAUGGACUAGCCCUGAAAAUGGAAGUCGCGAAAGGCGGGUGCCCAUACUCCGCCCUCUGGUGUAGGAGGGCGUAGUAUCUGCAUGGAAGUAAUUCUGUGAAGAGUUAUGGAGCAGGUAUUAGUGCAGAUCUUGGUGGUAGUAGCAAGUAUUCCAAUGCCAACUUGGAAGACUGAAGUGGAGAAGGUUUUCAUGAGAACCGCACUGGGUCAUGAGUCACCCGAUCCUAACCUCUCGAGGGAAAGGGGAUAUGGUUAAUAUUCCAUAGGUGCUUACUACAUAGUGGUGACACAAUAUGCCGCAAUACGUCGGGGUUGGUCCUGGGGAGAGUUGUCUUUUCUGUCUAACAUACAUGUGCGCCUGGAUCCAUUGCGGCGAGAGAGGCGUGAUGUAUGGAAGAGCAGCACACUGUAUGUGUUGUCUGGAGCACCAACUACGGCCCUUGAAACUUGCGGCAUGUAAUAUGUAGGAGCAUACACUCCUAAACCGCAUCAGGUCUCCAAGGUU
rnacentral:rRNA from 1 species